UACGGCCUGAGAGUCUCUCUGGAACCCAGGGACCUUGUGUCUGCAAUUUUUAGCACUUGCCACCAGAUGGCACAGUGUAGCAAGUAAACACCAACUGACUGCUCCUCAGGAGUCUUACAAGGAGAGUCACACAGAAAAUAGAGGAAGGGACGCAAACACACAGAGGAGAUGGAAAGGUGCACAGGGAGCAGAGAUUUGGGUAAUACAGCCACGUGGAAUGACGGAAGCCACCAGAAGUUGCAAGAGUAAGCAAAGAAUCCCAAACCCUGAUGCCUCAGGGGCGAAGAAGGUAAUCAAAAUGGCAGAAGUGGUUCCAGGAAGAGACACGACUGAGUUCCAGCAGUUGGGUAGCAUUGGAGAUGGACCCAGGUAUUCUCUGUAGAACCUCCCUAGAACCUCAUGAAGAUGUCAAAUGCAACUUGAUAAAGUAUC
rnacentral:lncRNA from 10 species